rnacentral:rRNA from 1 species
UAGGGGAAUCUUCGGCAAUGGACGAAAGUCUGACCGAGCAACGCCGCGUGAGUGAAGAAGGUUUUCGGAUCGUAAAACUCUGUUGGUAGAGAAGAACGUUGGUGAGAGUGGAAAGCUCAUCAAGUGACGGUAACUACCCAGAAAGGGACGGCUAACUACGUGUCAG